GACGUAGGGCGCGAGCGUUGUCCGGAUUUAUUGGGCGUAAAGAGCUCGUAGGCGGCUUGUCGCGUCGGCCGUGAAAACCUGCAGCUUAACUGUGGGCUUGCGGUCGAUACGGGCAUCACUGGAGUUCGGCAGGGGAGACUGGAAUUCCUGGUGUAGCGGUGAAAUGCGCAGAUAUCAGGAGGAACACCGGUGGCGAAGGCGGGUCUCUGGGCCGAUACUGACGCUGGAGGAG
rnacentral:rRNA from 1 species